rnacentral:tRNA from 1 species
GGGUGCUUAGCUCAGCAGGUAGAGCGAGGCCCUUACAAGGCUUAGGUCGGGAGUUCGAGUCUCUCAGCACCCACCC